rnacentral:lncRNA from 1 species
GCUUUAGCGGCGUUUUUGAAGAAGCGCCGCUAAUGCUAGGGCUUUAGCGGCGUUUUUGGAAAAGCGCCGCUAAAAACAUUUUAUCUUAAUUGGUUUAUUUAUAUUAAGUAAAUAAAAUUCAAUUUAUUUCUAAUUGAAUAUUCAAAGAAUUAUGAUUGUUUUUUAAUUUAUAUAUUAAAAAAUUUCUUAUAUAAUUGUAAAAGAAAUAGUAUUAAUUUUAAAAUAUUGAAUUAAUUAUCACUAUAGUUUAGGGUUUUUGGUUUAGGGUAUGGUAUAUGAUUUAUUUAAGAUUUAAGGCCAGUUUAGGAGUUACUAUUUUAAGGUUUAGGGAGUAUGGAUUAGGGAUUAUGGUUUAAGGGUUGAGAAUUAAUGUUUAGGGGUUAGAGGUUUAGGGGUUUAGGGGUUAGAUGUUAUGGGUUAAGAGUUAAGAAUUUAGGGUUUAGGGAUUCAGGGGUCGAGUUAGGAUUUUGGGCGUUUAGAUUAAUUUUUUUAAUUUAUGUUUUAAAUAUGUUCUUAUAUAAUUGUAAAAGAGAUAAUAAUAAAUUUGUUUAGGGUUUUUGGUUUAAGGUAUAUGAUUUAUUUAAGAUUUAAGGCCGGUUUAGGAGUUCAUAUUUUAAGGUUUAGGGAGUAUGGAUUUAUGGAUUAUGAAUUAGUGAUUAUGGUUUAAGGGUUGGGAUUUAAGAUUUAGGGAUUAGAGGGUUAUGGGUUUAUGGGUACUUAGACGCGUUAGGGGUUAAAAGUUAGGGAUUCAGGGGUCAGGUUAGGGUUUUGGGUUUAGAUUAAUUAUUUUUUUAAUUUAUAUUUUAAAUAUGUUCUUAUAUAAUUGUAAAAGAGAUAAUAAUAAAUUUGUUUAGGGUUUUUAGUUUAGGGUAUAUUAUUAAUUUAAGAUUUAAGGCCGGUUUAGGUAUUCAUAUUUUAAGGUUUAUGGAGUGUGGAUUUAGGGAUUAUGGUUUAAGGGUUGGGAUUUAAUGUUUAGGGGUUAGAGGUUUCCCCCUUCUCUGCUGCAUAACUCCAGGGAGAAAUUAAUAAUGUUUGGUGGACAGGUAUGCUUAAUCAACUUCAUUUUAGUUUAGGGUAUAUUAUUAAUUUGACAGGUAUAAUUUCCCCCCUUCUCUGCUGCAUAACUCCAGGGAGAAAUUAAUAAUGUUUGGUGGACAGGUAUGCUUAAUCAACUUCAUUUUAACUGUAAGCUUUUCAUGUAGCCAUUAUGUCUCAUCCUUCUUGUUGAGUCAUCAUGUCAUGUGGGGGAUCAAGUAUUUAAAUGUUUCACUGGAUAUAUGUGCAUUUAAGCAUGUUGUGCACAUCAUUUUUCACCUCAGGUUCUGUUAGGUCAUAUCCUUUAGAUGUUUAUGCUAAAGAACUGUGACCUUUUUUAUCAAUUAUUUUGUGCUGGAAUUAGUGGUGCACCUCAAGAUAACAACAUUAUGCUUUGGAAUGCGGUUAUAUUUGGGUAUAUUAUGAAAUAAGACUAGAGAAUCUUUAUGUACUUGCUUUUUAGAUUAAAGUUCUAUUAAAUGUUUUAUAUUUAAAUUGUUCCUAUUUAAAUUGUUUUAUAUAUCCAUUUGUGGAGUUGCCUGAGAAAGUAUGGAUUGUCUCAUUUUUUAUUUUUAAAGAAUUUUAAAAUCAGAAGUACAUAUUCUUCAUCUUGGACAGUAACCUAGCUUGGUUAUCCAAUACGAAUACUGUAGGUAAGGUUGGCAGUUGAUGCUAUUUUAAUGGGAUUAAUGGGAGAUAUCCUGAUAGGUACUAUAUGCUUUCAACCCUUGAUAUGGUAUAUCAAGUCCUAAAUCAAAUAAACAUUUAGAUUUGUCUACCCCUAGAAGUAAUGUAUACUUCCAGCCCUUGCGUGAUAUUGUACCUAACACUCACAUUUGGAAAUGUUAAACAUACUUGUGUCAGAGGCAUACUUGUACCUAACACUCACAUUUGAGUCUGACUAAGUAGCUAAAAGUAUUUUGCACUGGUCCAGUGUUCACUAUUUUAUCCUAGGUUUUGAAAUUCAUGGGUUAUUACUGGUACCAUGUACUUCACUCACUGAAUCUUUUGGCUGAAAUUCAUGCCUCUUAACUGUCCCUUGUUUCUUAUUGAUCUACUUUUACCCUUUUUUUUUCUAAGAUACGCUGAUUUUGCAUUGUUUUCACGUGCUUAUUUCUGCUCUUGUUCUCAGUGAUGUAAGAUUGAAUUAGUUUAAAAGUGUUUUCUGCUAAUGGGUAUUGUUUAGCACUCUUCAGUCUAAACUAUUGUAAUUUAUAUUUAUUGUGGAUAUAUUGCCAUGUCUAUGUUUUUGAAUUUGAUGAAUUACUGAUAUGCACGACGUGUUUGCUUUACUAGACUUUAAAUGGUGGAAUUUCUUUGUUUUUGGAUACACAGUUUUGAGAUUUCUUUUGAAUUCAAAAUUGCCCAAGCUGCAUUUAAGUGAUUGCAUAUGUGAAAGUGUGCGUUUUUCUUGUCCAUAUGUCACAUGUCAGGCUUUAAGUUUAUGAAACCUGAGGAUUAGUAUAUAAUAGAUAUAUCAUUAUUUUUUGUUUAGAUAAUUAAGCACCAGCUAUGUUUAGCAAUUAACUUCUGUCAGGCUAGUUAAAUUUUUAAUAAUCAACUUUCAAUCCCAGCUGAGAACUUCGUUUUUAAUAACCAUGUUUUUGUUACCUAAGUUUUUCACCAUUCAUCCCUCUUUAUCAUAUAUUCAUGCUAGGUUGGAAACUAAAGGAGGUUAACCUUUUAUUUCUUUGUAGAAGGAUAAUACUUGCUAUAUAAUGGUUAAGACUGAAAGUAAUAUCAUUCCUAUGUUUUUAGAAAAUAUUUUAAUUUUUUAUGAAAGUAAGAUAUUAAAAGUAUGCCCACGAUGGAAUUAGCUCUUAUAAAUCACUUCUAGACUGUUGUGUGAUCACAUGUCUUGAUGAUUGAUGUUAAUAUAUAUAUAUGGUUUUGCUCUAUGAAAAUCCUUUUGUUUUCACAUAUUGCCAUGCUAAACUAGCAGCACUCUUAUCUUUUUUGCAGUCACUACUCAGAGGUAGGUUCUUGCUUGAAAGACCUGUUGAAGAGGAGAGACCAUCUUCAGUGGCAGUGAGUGAAUUAAAUUAAUUAAGUCACUACUCAGAAGUAAAAUAUCAAUUAGCCUGUUACUUUAUCAGAUUGUGUUAUAUUUCCUCAACAAUGUCUAAUUUGAGUUUAUAGAAGCAAUAAGCCCAUGUAGUAAACAGUGGAUGUAGUAAACCUAUUUUAGUCUAAUUUCAAAGGGUUUUUAGUUUAUAAAUUUUCAAGUUUAUAACUGUACAUAUUGAACUUGUGCAUUUUUUUUUUGCAAUCAAUUAUUUGCACUAUUUGAACUUGUAAUUUUGCUAUUUAAAUAUUAACAUGAUUUUUCAAUAUUUUGACUAAAAAAUAUUAAUUUAUUAUAUGAUUAAAUAAUAUCUUUUUGACUAAAAGUAUAUAUUUAAUACUAAUUAAUUUUUUAUAUUAAUAAUGUUUAAUUUUAAUAUUUAAUUUUUUUAAAUGUUUUUAAAAGUUAGUGGCGAUUUUAUGUAAAAUGCCGCUAAAGAACGGUACUUUUAGCGGCGUUUGUGAUAAAAAGCGUCACUAAAGGUCAUGUUCUUUAGCGGCAAUUGUUAGAAAACCGUCGCUAAAGGCUAUGUUCUUUAGCGGCAUUUAUUAAAAAAGCGCCGCUAAAGAACAUGGUCUUUAGCGGCAUUUAUUUCUAAAAGCGCCGCAAGUAUUAACGGCGUGGUCAAUAGCGGCAUUUUUUGUGGCGCUUGUUGAAGCGCCGCAAAUACUUACAACUGCGCUAAAAGGCGCCGCUGAAGGCCUAAAAAAAUGCCGUUAAAACCCUAUUUUGGUGUAGUGAUAGUAAGAUCAUCUAGCUGUAAGCUGCAAUCAACAGCACAUGAUGAAUUAUGUAAAAUACCAUGACGUAGAACCUCACCUUUUUCAAAUAACUCAUUUCCUUCACAAGCAGACUCUCCUCUUCCUUAAGUUCAGCAAAAGUCUGAAAAAUGACGGAUUCUUCCAGUUAAUAAUAAUACCCCUGAAUGAAUCAUCUUCGGAUUUUCUUUCAUAAAACAUUUCCCACCAAAAACAUGAAUCAAAAAGAUCAAUCACUUUACGUUCUUUCUUCUCUAUCUCUUCGUGGUUGUGCUAGUGGUUCCAUUAGCAGUAACGCCCUGCAAAAUACAUCAACUGAUCAAUAUAAUUUUAAACUGCAAAAUACAUCAACUGAUCAAGAACCAACAAAUUGAAAAAAAAAAUGCUAUAGGAUAAUUUGGAAUACUAGAUGGAUGAAAAUAGUAAAUUUCAAAAGUGGAUAAACAAUUGAACAAAAGCUUGGAGAUUUGGUGGCAGCCCACCUAAAACCCAGGCACAAUUAAAAUCUAAUUUUGAUAAUAAGCUUUCAAGGGUGUUCCAAUGGCGGGUUUUGAGAUAUUUGUGUAUGACAGCAGCGUAGAAAUUGGGAAGCCAAAGCCAGUCCACUAACCCAGCCGCUCCUACUCACGGAAGUGGGCAAUAGUAACACGGCACGCCACAUUACCAAAGAUGUUAACACAUGAUUGAAUUUAAACCUUAUAUCCAUCCAUUGUAUUUGAACUGUUCAGGUCACGUGACUUUUUUAUCAUAUGAUCUGUCCUGACGGCAACCAGUUAUUGGGUCACUACCUGUAUAAGCACUUGCAUUCCCAUUUUGUCUCCCAGUUGUAUUUCCAACUAAUUAUCACUGUUCAUUCUACCUUCGCCACUAUUCAAAGAUUAGAUUUCAUAGCUUCUCAAUCUUAUCUCAAAGAAUCUAUAAUUAAGAUGCUUUAAUAAUCGCG